UCAAGGUUCGAGCGGUAAGGCCUUUCGGGGUACACGAGCGGCGAACGGGUGAGUAACACGUGGGUGAUCUGCCCUGCACUUCGGGAUAAGCCUGGGAAACUGGGUCUAAUACCGGAUAUGACCUCCUAUCGCAUGAUGUGUGGUGGAAAGAUUUAUCGGUGCAGGAUGGGCCCGCGGCCUAUCAGCUUGUUGGUGGGGUAAUGGCCUACCAAGGCGACGACGGGUAGCCGACCUGAGAGGGUGACCGGCCACACUGGGACUGAGACACGGCCCAGACUCCUACGGGAGGCAGCAGUGGGGAAUAUUGCACAAUGGGCGAAAGCCUGAUGCAGCGACGCCGCGUGAGGGAUGACGGCCUUCGGGUUGUAAACCUCUUUCAGCAGGGACGAAGCGCAAGUGACGGUACCUGCAGAAGAAGCACCGGCUAACUACGUGCCAGCAGCCGCGGUAAUACGUAGGGUGCAAGCGUUGUCCGGAAUUACUGGGCGUAAAGAGUUCGUAGGCGGUUUGUCGCGUCGUUUGUGAAAACCAGCAGCUCAACUGCUGGCUUGCAGGCGAUACGGGCAGACUUGAGUACUGCAGGGGAGACUGGAAUUCCUGGUGUAGCGGUGAAAUGCGCAGAUAUCAGGAGGAACACCGGUGGCGAAGGCGGGUCUCUGGGCAGUAACUGACGCUGAGGAACGAAAGCGUGGGUAGCGAACAGGAUUAGAUACCCUGGUAGUCCACGCCGUAAACGGUGGGCGCUAGGUGUGGGUUCCUUCCACGGAAUCCGUGCCGUAGCUAACGCAUUAAGCGCCCCGCCUGGGGGAGUACGGCCGCAAGGCUAAAACUCAAAGGAAUUGACGGGGGCCCGCACAAGCGGCGGAGCAUGUGGAUUAAUUCGAUGCACGCGAGAACCUUACCUGGGUUUGACAUAUACCGAAAGCUGCAGAGAUGUGGCCCCCUUGUGGUCGGUAUACAAGUGGUGCAUGCCUGUCGUCAGCUCGUGUCGUGGAAGGUGGUAGUCCCGGCACGACGCCAACCCUAUCUUAUGUUGGCAGCACGCUAUGGUGGGACUGCUAAAG
rnacentral:rRNA from 1 species